UACAGAGGGGGCAAGCGUUGUUCGGAAUUACUGGGCGUAAAGGGCGCGUAGCGGCCGCCUAAGUCAGAUGUGAAAGCCCCGGGCUCAACCUGGGAAUUGCAUUUGAGACUGCGUAGCUAGGGUGCGGAAGAGGGAAGCGGAAUUUCCGGUGUAGCGGUGAGAUGCGUAGAUAUCGGAAGGAACACCAGUGGCGAAAGCGGCUUCCUGGUCCAGCACCGACGUUCAGGCACGAAAGCGUGGGGAGCAAACAGG
rnacentral:rRNA from 1 species